rnacentral:rRNA from 1 species
CCUACGGGGGGCAGCAGUGAGGAAUAUUGGUCAAUGGCCGUAAGGCUGAACCAGCCAAGUCGCGUGAAGGAAGAAGGAUCUAUGGUUUGUAAACUUCUUUUAUAGGGGAAUAAAGUUAUGCACGUGUGCCUUUUUGCAUGUACUUUAUGAAUAAGCAUCGGCUAACUCCGUGCCAGCAGCCGCGGUAAUACGGAGGAUGCGAGCGUUAUCCGGAUUUAUUGGGUUUAAAGGGUGCGUAGGUUGUUUUUUAAGUCAGCGGUGAAAGUUUGUGGCUCAACCAUAAAAUUGCCGUUGAAACUGGCAGUCUUGAGUGUGUUUGAGGUAGGCGGAAUGCGUGGUGUAGCGGUGAAAUGCAUAGAUAUCACGCAGAACUCCGAUUGCGAAGGCAGCUUACUAAGCCAUAACUGACACUGAAGCACGAAAGCGUGGGGAUCAAACAGGAUUAGAUACCCCUGUAGUC